UUCAACCACUAUAUAGAAGUGUGAAUUAAUUCUCAAGAAAUAAUGAAGAAUUUUGUUGGUUUAUCGCUACUUUGUUUUGCUCUUCUAUUGAGCAUAUCAACUCCUUCUCUUGGGCAAGCACCAAAAUUAUGUCCAUCAAGCUUUCCAGUGGUGUUCGAUCAAUGUCCCAAUAUCAAUUGCUUUUUAGAAGCUUUAAAGGUUAUUCCAGCAAGUAAGCAACCCCAACACUGCAGAUGUAGUCCUCAAGGGAAGGGCAGCCUCUGCUCUUGCUUAGUCCUUUGUGAUUAAAUGCAAUUGUAUUAGCAAGUUCAUGAUUAUUAUUAAUUUCCAAAAUUAAUAAAGUAUUAUGUUUGAAGUA